GAUGAACGCUGGCGGCGUGCCUAAUACAUGCAAGUCGAGCGAACGGACGAGAAGCUUGCUUCUCUGAUGUUAGCGGCGGACGGGUGAGUAACACGUGGAUAACCUACCUAUAAGACUGGGAUAACUUCGGGAAACCGGAGCUAAUACCGGAUAAUAUUUUGAACCGCAUGGUUCAAAAGUGAAAGACGGUCUUGCUGUCACUUAUAGAUGGAUCCGCGCUGCAUUAGCUGGUUGGUAAGGUAACGGCUUACCAAGGCAACGAUGCAUAGCCGACCUGAGAGGGUGAUCAGCCACACUGGAACUGAGACACGGUCCAGACUCCUACGGGAGGCAGCAGUAGGGAAUCUUCCGCAAUGGGCGAAAGCCUGACGGAGCAACGCCGCGUGAGUGAUGAAGGUCUUCGGAUCGUAAAACUCUGUUAUUAGGGAAGAACAUAUGUGUAAGUAACUGUGCACAUCUUGACGGUACCUAAUCAGAAAGCCACGGCUAACUACGUG
rnacentral:rRNA from 1 species